AUUGAACGCUGGCGGCAGGCCUAACACAUGCAAGUCGAGCGGGGUUUUCGGACCUAGCGGCGGACGGGUGAGUAAUGCGUAGGAAGCUACCCGAUAGAGGGGGAUACCAGUUGGAAACGACUGUUAAUACCGCAUAAUGUCUACGGACCAAAGUGUGGGACCUUCGGGCCACAUGCUAUCGGAUGCGCCUACGUGGGAUUAGCUAGUUGGUGAGGUAAUGGCUCACCAAGGCGACGAUCCCUAGCUGGUUUGAGAGGAUGAUCAGCCACACUGGAACGGAGACAAGGUCCAGACUCCUACGGGAGGCAGCAGUGGGGAAUAUUGGACAAUGGGCGCAAGCCUGAUCCAGCCAUGCCGCGUGUGUGAAGAAGGCCUUCGGGUUGUAAAGCACUUUCAGUAGGGAGGAAGCGUUGUGUGUUAAUAGUACACAGCGUUGACGUUACCUACAGAAGAAGCACCGGCUAACUCUGUGCCAGCAGCCGCCGUAACAC
rnacentral:rRNA from 1 species